AAAUCUCAUUUUCACAAGUAGCUAGAGAAUACUGCCGAUGUCUUAUCAAAUCACAAUUAUCAUACAUAUAUUGGACGCUUGAGUUAAAAUGCCUCCAUAUUUGAUUUUAUUUUGAAAGCUCUUCCAGGAAAUAAUGUAUUGUGAAACGUACACAUUUGCAGACGAGCUGAAUAAACGCCACAGAGGAAAAACCUUUCACCACCAACCCAGGUGGCUUCUUCAGUCUGAAGAACUCAUGAGGAGGGACACUCUGAGAUGCGUCUCUUCUCCACCCUGCAACGACCUCCAGGGCUUGUUUGGGGUUGCAGGGAGAAAGUUCGUUGAUGCAGUAGACAGUUGCUAACUGGACCCCCCAAGGCACAUCUGGAGAGAACACAUGGCUACAAUUAACAGGCUGCAGACAAAUGGAAGACCGGGUGAGGAUGUUCAAAACUAAGGACAGGAUGCACCAAAUGCUAGGAAGUGAAAACGGGAAGGUGUUGGUCUGCAGUGAACUGGGGGAUGGAGGAACAGCUGCUGACCCUUCAAAGGACUGACGGUGAUGGAAGUUUACACCAGCCGGUGUAAGAGAGAUGCAUGAAAGAAAGAUAAUUAACCAAGUUUUCUUAUUGUGCAUUUCAUUCCUGAGUGAUAAUGAUAACACAGGAUAUUAAACCUGGCCAGAUACUGGUUAUUGUGGCUGUUUACUGGAAAAGAUAACAUCUAAAUAGAUAUUUAUUUACUUCAGUCUGAGCCAAGGUGCCAUUGUUUGACACCUCACACCCGUCAUGCCUGUACUUGCACCAAAGGGUUACUUUAGAACCAUAUGGCUCCGUUCUCAAAUCUUCUACUAGACUGAUCUGUUUGUUCUUUAUUAUUAGCUCAAUGUGAAUUUACAAGGCUCAUGUUAUUCUGACUACAAGGCUCUGCUGAAACUUUAAAGGGUUAAGUUGUGUUAUGUUGAUUGCUCCUCCUGUGGGUUAAAAAAAUGUGAUUUUACUAAUAAUGCAUUCUAUUUGUGACUUUGAAGAGCUCUCUUCCAUAUAAGAACAUACAUGGUAUUGGACUCCUGACUUAUGACACAGACUCUUGUUUGUAUUAUUUAACCAAAACAUGCUUCAUUGAAUUUUAAAUUAACAAGCAUUGAAAGAUUGACUGAGCAACAAACAAUUUUUCACAAGACUUGUAGAAGGUGCUACUGAAAUAUACAGUUUUGUUUAUUUUAUGAUUUUUUUUUGUUUGUUUACUGCAGAACCUAUGUUAUCUACUGCAGUAGAAUAACAUAGGUUCUCUAAUGAUAUGUUAUAAAGAUGUUUUUACUGUUUACUGUAAUGUUUGAAGGACCAAACUCAACUCACCAAUUAAGUGCGACCUUUGUGCUGACAGCUGCUGUUUAGGUUCCACACAGGUCCACAAAUUCUCUAGUAGCAUCCGAAACUUUUCUGGAAAACACACGAUAACGAUAACACACAACAAAAACAAAUGUCUACUUAAAUAGAUCAUUUUUAAAGAGAAGAUGAAAAAAAAAGAUCUAAAGUAUAUACCUUUGUCAACUUUAGGUUCCUCUGGUACACUUGCUUGAGUUGAUGCGCUCCUAUAUUCUGUUGACAAUAUUUCAAAUGUAGUUUUAUUUUACCCAAAUCUAAUAUAAACAAAUUAUGCUUGAUCAGGUUAUAUAAUCAAACGUCUUCUAAAUCUGUCAAAUUCCCAAACAAUACCUGACCACAAUAAUAAACUUUUAUUGUGCCAUUAUAAUUAUUUACCUUUACACCUUUCUCUCUCCAGUUUUAUCAGUCUCAUCUGCAAAUGAUUCAAAAUUCUACAUGAAGAAAAAGACCAUUUCAAUAGUACUAAAUAUUUUAAACAUUUUGUGGUACAGCACCUGGAGAUCAUUGAUAUUUCUCUCUAACAGGAUCUUUUCUCUGGUCAGCUGGGAAAUCUGAUGUUUCUGUUUGCAAACUGAGUCUGAAACAAAGAUGCAAGAUAAUUUAUUUGCUAACAUAUAACUUAAACACUGAUUCAAGACAUACUUGUCAUUAUAAAUAUUUAUAUAGUGUUUUUUUUCCACUAUUUAUUUUAAUACAAACCUUCAAGUAAUCCCACUUUACUUUCGAGGCUGUCCUUUCUGUUGAUGAAAAGACAACAUGGGACUUUUUAGAAUGAUUUGGCUUAUACAUAUUCCGGUAAAAUGUUGUAAACAUUGUUGUUAUUAUUAUUAUCAUCAUCAUCAUCAUCACAGAAUAAUUAAAAUCUUAUGACAAAUGUUGCAAAAGAAGACAAU